GAUGAACGCUAGCUACAGGCUUAACACAUGCAAGUCGAGGGGCAGCACUAGGUAGCAAUACUGAGGUGGCGACCGGCGCAAGGGUGCGUAACGCGUGAGCAACUUGCCCGUUUCAGGGGGAUAACCGGUGGAAACGCCGACUAAUACCCCCAUAGCAUCAGUUGAAGGCAUCUUCGACUGAUUAAAGAACUUCGGAAACGGAUAGGCUCGCGUGACAUUAGCUUGUUGGCGGGGUAACGGCCCACCAAGGCAACGAUCGUUAGGGGUUCUGAGAGGAAGGUCCCCCACACUGGAACUGAGACACGGUCCAGACUCCUACGGGAGGCAGCAGUGAGGAAUAUUGGUCAAUGGGCGGGAGCCUGAACCAGCCAAGUAGCGUGAAGGAUUACAGCCCUACGGGUUUUAAACUUCUUUUAUAUAAGAGUAAUGUGCACUACGUGUAGUGUAUUGCAAGUAUUAUAUGAAUAAGCAUCGGCUAACUCCGUG
rnacentral:rRNA from 1 species